rnacentral:rRNA from 1 species
GACGGAGGAUGCAAGUGUUAUCCGGAAUCACUGGGCGUAAAGCGUCUGUAGGUGGUUUAGUAAGUCAACUGUUAAAUCUUGAAGCUCAACUUCAAAAUCGCAGUCGAAACUACUAGACUAGAGUAUAGUAGGGGUAAAGGGAAUUUCCAGUGGAGCGGUGAAAUGCGUAGAUAUUGGAAAGAACACCGAUGGCGAAGGCACUUUACUGGGCUAUUACUGACACUCAGAGACGAAAGCUAGGGUAGCAAAUGGG